rnacentral:rRNA from 1 species
UUCAAGCAAAACUUUAAUUGAAGAGUUUGAUCAUGGCUCAGAUUGAACGCUGGCGGCAGGCCUAACACAUGCAAGUCGAGCGGUAACAUUUCAAAAGCUUGCUUUUGAAGAUGACGAGCGGCGGACGGGUGAG